rnacentral:lncRNA from 1 species
UAAAUGAGUCAAGUCAUUAAGUGUGAAAUAUGCACUUCAUUACCACUUGCUCAUAUUACUCAGCACUGUCCCUCCACAGCAACAACAACACAAAAAACAAAGAAACUUCAGGCCCUGGCUCUCAAGGCCCUCCUGUUCCCCUGCACAUCCCUUUCUCCCCUAGUCCCAUCUCUAUAAGCCCCUACCCCUGAGCCAUCUUCCUUCAACCCCCAUUCAAUUUUGGUGCC